CCAGUACCGUGAGGGAAAGGUGAAAAGAACCGCGGGAGCGGAGUGAAAGAGAACCUGAAACCGUAUGCCUACAAGAAGUCAGAGCCCGUUGAAGGGUGAUGGCGUGCCUUUUGUAGAAUGAACCGGCGAGUUGCGAUGAGAUGCGAGGUUAAGCGGGAAAACGCGGAGCCGCAGCGAAAGCGAGUCUGAAUAGGGCGGAAGUAGAACAUCGCAGACCCGAAACCGGGUGAUCUAGCCAUGAGCAGGUUGAAGUUCAGGUGAAACUGAAUGGAGGACCGAACCGACCAUCGUUGAAAAGCUGGCGGAUGACUUGUGGCUAGGGGAGAAAUUCCAAUCGAACCCGGAGAUAGCUGGUUCUCCCCGAAAUAGCUUUAGGGCUAGCGUCGUGAAGAACCUGAUCGGAGGUAGAGCACUGAAUGAGUGAUGGCCCCAUCCCGGGGUACUGAACUCAAUCAAACUCCGAAUGCCGAACAGGAUGCACGGCAGUCAGACCGUGAGUGAUAAAGUCCAUGGUCAAGAGGGAAACAGCCCAGAUCGCCAGUUAAGGUCCCAAAAUUCCGGCCAAGUGGAAAAGGAAGUGGGGAUGCACAGACAACUAGGAGGUUGGCUCAGAAGCAGCCAUCCUUGAAAGAGUGCGUAACAGCUCACUAGUCGAGUGACCCUGCGCCGAAAAUGUACCGGGGCUAAGCCGGAUACCGAAACUGCGGAUAUCUAAGGAUGUGGUAGGGGAGCGUUGCAUGCAGGAAGAAGCCGUACCGAGAGGAGCGGUGGACCGCAUGGAAGCGAGAAUGCCGGUGUGAGUAGCGAGAUGAAGGUGAGAAUCCUUCACACCGAAAGCCCAAGGAUUCCAGGGGAAGGUUCGUCCGCCCUGGGUAAGUCGGGACCUAACGCGAGGCCGAAAGGCGUAGCGGAUGGAAAGCAGGCAGAUAUUCCUGCACCCGGAUGUAGAGCGAAGGAGUGACGGAGACGGGAAGCAUGACCCUCUUAACGGAUUGAGGGCGAAGCGAGGUAGCGGAUGACCAGGCAAAUCCGGUCAUCGGAACGUGAAGACGUGACAGGGAAGCGAAAGAGCGAUCGAGUAGCGAAGACAUGCGGACCGGCUUCCAGGAAAAGCUUCUAGCAAUGUAUGUCCGGCCCGUACCAAAACCGACACAGGUGGGCAGGGAGAGUAUCCCGAGGUGAGCGAGAGAACUGUUGCCAAGGAACUCGGCAAAAUGACUCCGUAAGUUAGCGAGAAGGAGUGCUCGAAAGAGCCGCAGUGAAGAGGCCCAAGCGACUGUUUAACUAAAACACAGCUCUCUGCGAAGCCGCAAGGCGAAGUAUAGAGGGUGACACCUGCCCGGUGCUGGAAGGUUAAGAGGAUCUGUGAAUCGAAAGAGGAAGCAGUGAGUUGAAGCCCCAGUGAACGGCGGCCGUAACUAUAACGGUCCUAAGGUAGCGAAAUUCCUUGUCAGGUAAGUUCUGACCCG
rnacentral:rRNA from 1 species